rnacentral:lncRNA from 1 species
AAAUAGGUGAGAAAAAACGGUCAAGAACGGCCCACUAACGCAGUUCUGUUACUGCAUGAUAAUGGUGAACGCCAUUAGGGGAAUGGCGAAUGUCAUUCCUUUAAUAUUUAAAUGACAUGACAUGCACUAGGGAUGGAGAACGCCAUCUGCACAUAAUGGUCUAAAAUGACUCUUUUGCUCGUUUUUAGCUCCUAUUUCGCCUCUUUUCCGCGAGGCUUCCAAAAUUCCAAUGAAAUCUGAUAACAACUGCAAAACAAAUAAAACGGAAGUAAAAUGCAAUAAAACAAAGACGGAUAAGAUGUGAAAUGAGCCUAAAAACACGAUACGAUUUCUCGUUAUCAGUGUAAACACAACAAAACAAAUAAUAAACAAAGCAAGGGAUCGAGGAAUACCAAAACGUGAAUUGAAGUUUUUUGACGUGUUGAUGGCUUGCUCCGGCGCAACAUGACUUUCAAGUGCAAAACUUCUAUUUUAUUUCAUUCUACUCCUCCCUCAAUAUCUUUCUUCUUCUCCCUUUUGAAAAAAAUCUUUUUCUUCUGUUGUGAUAAUUUGUUGUUGUGUGAGUGAAGGUUUUUUACUUUCUGCUUGUGAUUCAACUCGGUAUUGAAUUUUUUUUCAUGUUCUACAAUGUUCUUUUUUGCUCAAACAAAUUAGGAUUCUUUGCUCUUCAGUGUGUAUGUGUUGGUGUCUAAGGUUUCUUUUUUGUGUCUUUGAAAUGGAUAUUGGUACUACUGGUUUUUUUUUCUGUGUGUUGUAUGUUAUGGGCUAGUGUUGUAUGUUUCUCCUCCCCCUUCUAAGAGAACAAAAA